rnacentral:lncRNA from 1 species
CUGCUUCACUGACAUUCAGAGCUUUGGAACUGGCAUGAGUGGCUGUCACUUAUCUGACUUUACUGGAUCUGGCAGUUAUCUCUGGAAGCCUUCUCUUUGGUUUUCAGUCUCCCUGGCUUUGGCUGAGAUUCAGACUUUAUUCAAGCAACCUGAGUUAAAGCUCUACUUUUAAAGCUUUCCUUCCUUCUGGGUGUGGGGCAGGACUGUCUCUGGAAUGGGGGUCUUAUGACCUACAGUCAAAUAAGGUAGAUCAGGUAAGUUCUUUUUAUUUUA